rnacentral:tRNA from 1 species
GGGUUCUAGCUCAGUGGUAGAGCUCUUGCCUAGCAUGUGGGAGGAACUGGGUUCAAUUCUCAGCACGCA